rnacentral:rRNA from 1 species
UGGGGAUAUUGCACAAUGGGGGGAAACCCUGAUGCAGCGACGCCGCGUGAGUGAAGAAGUAUUUCGGUAUGUAAAGCUCUAUCAGCAGGAAAGAUAAUGACGGUACCUGACUAAGAAGCACCGGCUAAAUACGUGCCAGCAGCCGCGGUAAUACGUAUGGUGCAAGCGUUAUCCGGAUUUACUGGGUGUAAAGGGAGCGCAGACGGCAUGGCAAGCCAGAUGUGAAAGGUGGGGCUCAACCCCCAAGCUGCAUUUGGAACUGUCAAGCUAGAGUAUCGGAGAGGUAAGUGGAAUUCCUAGUGUAGCGGUGAAUGCGUAGAUAUUAGGAG